rnacentral:tRNA from 1 species
GGAGAGGUGGCAGAGUGGUCGAAUGCACCGCACUCGAAAUGCGGCAUACGGGUGACCGUAUCGGGGGUUCGAAUCCCCCCCUCUCCGCCA